AACGAACGCUGGCGGCAUGCUUAACACAUGCAAGUCGAACGAGACCUUCGGGUCUAGUGGCGCACGGGUGCGUAACGCGUGGGAAUCUGCCCUUUGCUACGGAAUAACUCAGAGAAAUUUGUGCUAAUACCGUAUAAUGUCUACGGACCAAAGAUUUAUCGGCAAAGGAUGAGCCCGCGUAAGAUUAGCUUGUUGGUGGGGUAAAGGCCUACCAAGGCGACGAUCUUUAGCUGGUCUGAGAGGAUGAUCAGCCACACUGGGACUGAGACACGGCCCAGAGUCCUACGGGGGGCAGCAGUGGGGGAUAUUGGACAAGGGGCGAAAGCCUGAGCCAGCAAUGCCGCGUGAGUGAUGAAGGCCUUAGGGUUGUAAAGCUCUUUUACCAGGGAUGAUAAUGACAGUACCUGGAGAAUAAGCUCCGGCUAACUUCGUGCCAGCCGCCGCCGUAA
rnacentral:rRNA from 1 species